rnacentral:rRNA from 1 species
UACGUAGGGUGCGAGCGUUGUCCGGAAUUAUUGGGCGUAAAGAGCUCGUAGGCGGUGUGUCACGUCGGCCGUGAAAACCUGCAGCUUAACUGUGGGCGUGCGGUCGAUACGGGCAUCACUGGAGUUCGGCAGGGGAGACUGGAAUUCCUGGUGUAGCGGUGAAAUGCGCAGAUAUCAGGAAGAACACCGGUGGCGAAGGCGGCUCUCUGGGCCUUACCUGACGCUGAGGAGCGAAAACGUGGGUAGCGAACAGG